UCAAGACACACAAGCUUCACAUAACACUCUACAGAACGCCUGAGCAGGCACGUUUUGAGAAGAAGCGAAAGGUCAACCUACAAUUCCAGACGCUCAAGCACCUCAGACGACCAGACUGAACUGCAGAUCACGACAACCAGCUUCACAUUGUACUCUACAGAACGCCUGAGCAGCCAUGUUUUGAGAAGAAGCGAAAGGUUAACCUACAAUUCCAGACGCUCAAGGUCAGUGGAAUAAUCUCUCUCAGCACCUGCUGCCUCAACCUCUCUAACACUACGGUGUGCAAAUUGUAUUCUGUGUUUGUCUAUUCAGUCUUACGUGUAGAUGUGGUGUAGUGGUAAGCUAUAUCGUAUGUUGCAUUAGCCAAAUAUUUUAGCUCUCUUCUUGAUUAGCGAUGGAAAAAAAACAGAAGGCCCUCCAUAAUUUUCCUUAAUUUUCAGAGUGAUUCCCAAUAAAUUGGAAAACUUCAUAGCCUAGCUGAUGGUAUUGAUGGUUAUUGUGUAAUUAGUUAUUCCCUGCACAUUCCCUGGAUACUGUAGUCCAAGCCAAGUAACUCAUUUUACAGGUAAAACAGAAUUAAAUAUAUUUUCUCACCCUAUAUUUUUUGGGGGCCAGAACAUUCUUAAGUUCCUA